AAUCUGAAUUCAUUGACAGCCCCCACAAAGUUUAUGUCGGCAAUCUUGCAAAAACAGUAACUACAGAGAUGCUCAAAAACUUCUUUGCUGAGAAAGGGAAGGUUCUUAGUGCAAAGGUAUCCCGAGUUCCAGGGACCUCAAAAUCUAGUGGUUUUGGGUUUGUAACAUUUUCUUCAGAAGAGGCUGUCGAAGCUGUAAUCUCAUCCGUAAACAAUGCUUUGCUUGAAGGGCAGAAAAUUCGUGUAAACAAGGCUUAAUUAGCAGAAACUUGGUAUUAAUGUGGCAUAGCAUAGGUGGGAGAACUUGGGUUGGGGAGAAUGGUUUGCACUGUAACUGUUGGAUUGAGAAUUGGAUGUUCUUUUUGUAGAGUCAGGGAACAAGAAUUACAAUAUUUAGAGAACAUCAAACUGUUACCAAAAAGAAGGAAAAAAAGAAAAGGAACAGCCAAGUGUUGAUGAUUGUUUUGUUCGGAGCUUUCUGUUUCUUUGGUUACAAUGAUGAAGUUCAUUGAAAAAGUUUAAAGUAGUUGAGUUCUUGCAUUGUACUUCUUACGUAGUUUUGAUCUCUCAAGCUUCAUGUUUUUGUAAGGAUCUCUUAUUAUUUGCCCUAGACACUUGACAGUUUUUGAGAGAUUAUGUGCACUGAACUAUAAAGAAAAUUGUGCAGUGAAGUUCAAUUUACCUUUUUCAA